UCCCUCAUAGCUUAGUUGGUAAAGAAUCUGUCUGCAAUGCAGGAAGCCCCGGUUCUAUUCCUGGGUUGGGAA
rnacentral:tRNA from 1 species